ACAGCUCUGAGAUCAGCUCCACUGUCAGACACAAAGUCAAGUCCACCAUCAUCCCUGUGUAUUCCUCUGGAUGUGACAGAGUAUCAUCAGUGUAUCUGGUGUAUUUAGGGCCCGAGCACGACCGUGCGAGGUCCCUAUUGAAUUUGCUCGGAUUAUAUAUAUAUUUUUUUUUUUUUUUUUUUCUGCAAAGUAGGCCCAAAUGACAUGGCCUAAACAUACUCGAAA